rnacentral:rRNA from 1 species
CCUACGGGAGGCAGCAGUGAGGAAUAUUGGUCAAUGGACGAGAGUCUGAACCAGCCAAGUAGCGUGAAGGAUGACUGCCCUAUGGGUUGUAAACUUCUUUUAUAUGGGAAUAAAAUGUUCCACGUGUGGGAUUUUGUAUGUACCAUAUGAAUAAGGAUCGGCUAACUCCGUGCCAGCAGCCGCGGUAAUACGGAGGAUCCGAGCGUUAUCCGGAUUUAUUGGGUUUAAAGGGAGCGUAGGUGGAUUGUUAAGUCAGUUGUGAAAGUUUGCGGCUCAACCGUAAAAUUGCAGUUGAAACUGGCAGUCUUGAGUACAGUAGAGGUGGGCGGAAUUCGUGGUGUAGCGGUGAAAUGCUUAGAUAGCACGAAGAACUCCGAUUGCGAAGGCAGUUCACUGGACUGCAACUGACACUGAGGCUCGAAAGUGUGGGUAUCAAACAGGAUUAGAUACCCGUGUAGUA